rnacentral:rRNA from 1 species
CAACUCUCAACAACGGAUAUCUUGGCUCUCGCAACGAUGAAGAACGCAGCGAAAUGCGAUACGUAGUGUAAAUUGCAGAAUUCCGUGAAUCAUCGAAUCUUUGAACGCACAUUGCGGUCGAGGCUUUGGCCGAGACCACGUCUGCCUCAGCGUC